rnacentral:rRNA from 1 species
GCCUCGGAGGGAUCAUUACUGAGUUACCGCUCUAUAACCCUUUGUGAACAUACCUACAACUGUUGCUUCGGCGGGUAGGCCGUCCCCUGAAAAGGACGCCUCCCGGCCCGGACCGGACCCCCCGCGGGACCGGACCCGGCGCCCGCCGGAGGAUAACCAAACUCUAUUGUAACGACGUUUCUUCUGAGUGGCAUAAGCAAAAUAAUCAAAACUUUUAACAACGGAUCUCUUGGUUCUGGCAUCGAUGAAGAACGCAGCGAAAUGCGAUAAGUAAUGUGAAUUGCAGAAUUCAGUGAAUCAUCGAAUCUUUGAACGCACAUUGCGCCCGCCAGCAUUCUGGCGGGCAUGCCUGUUCGAGCGUCAUUUCAACCCUCAAGCUCUGCUUGGUGUUGGGGCUCUACGGUCGACGUAGGCCCUCAAAGGUAGUGGCGGACCCUCCCGGAGCCUCCUUUGCGUAGUAACAUUUCGUCUCGCACUGGGAUCCGGAGGGACUCUUGCCGUAAAACCCCCCAAUUUUCCAAAGGUUGACCUCGGAUCAGGUAGGAAUACCCGCUGAACUUAAGCAUAUCAUA